UACCCCAUCAUCAUCUACUUCCAUUUCAUCCUCUCCAGAUUCAAGAAUAUAUAUAGAUAGAUAGAUAUAUCUACCUAAGUUUCUUUAAUAAUGGGGUUUUUCCUACCUCUCUUGCCUACUGCAUGGGAUUAAAAAAAAUAAUUAUAAGAAUCUUUGUUUGCUUUUACUAGUAAUAGUUCUACUUAGAAAUGUGAUUUUCUUCAUCACAAUUCAAAAUAUCCAUGAGAAGUUAGACCUUUUUGUGAGUUCUGAGUGUGUUUUGAAAUGUAUAUUUAAGUAAGUAGUUCACGAAUUCUAUUAGGUUUUCGUGAACUACUUACUAUUAUUGGAUGUAUGUGUGACUAUAUAUAUAUGUUUGUUAAGUUGAUUUUUUUGAAAUAUGUUUUAGGGUUUCUACUUUGUUCAGAUCUAUAAAAGUUAGUGGUACCUAUGUAUGAACAAGGUUUAGAGAGAAGAUGGGGGAGACAUUAGAGAGAAUCAAGGCUGACAGAAGAGAGUGAGCACACGCAGACGAAUUGUAUAAAGAUUUAUACAAUUGUCAUUUGCGUGUGCUCAUUUCUCUUUCUGUCAGCUAUCUUUAUGCUUUAGCUCCCCAUCACCCCCCUCACUCCGUUUGAGCUAGAGGAGCGAAAGGGCUCAGUUACAUCUCAUUUUAAGGUCAAUCACCUCCUUCGCUUUGUUUGAGCUAAAGGAGCGAAAGGGAUUCAGUUACAUCUCAUUUUAAGGUCAUCACCCCCUUGCUUCGUUUGAGCUAGAGGAGCAAAAAGGGUUCAGUUACAUCUCAUUUUAAAGUCGAUCAUCCUCCUAGCUCCGUUUGAGCUAGAGGAGCGAAAGAGGUUCAGUUACAUCUCAUUUUAAGGUCAUCACCCCCCUCGCUCCCUUUGAGCUAUAGGAGCGAAAGGGGUUCAGUUACAUCUCAUUUUAAGGUCAUCUUUCUUUUGAAAUAUAUAUAGCAGAUGAUGAACCCUGAACUCAGUACUAUUUUCAUCAUCACCUCUAUAGUCCUAUAUAUCAUGAUAUUUGUUAGAAACAGCAUAAAUGUAACGACAUUUGUAAAUUUUUAUUAAAUUCUUUUUUUUUUUUACUAUUCAUGUUUUUGUAAGCUAACAUCUGUCAAAGAAAAAAAGUUACUACUACUCCUACUAGCAUAUGCAAGCUACAGAUAGACUGAUGGACAUGACAUUUCAACACACACCCACACAAAACGAACUUCUUGAAAUGUCUCUAUGUAUGACACCUAACUUACUUACGUGUUCUUGUUUCAUUGAUAUUCUUUUUCAAAUUGAGAAUUUGACGUUUAUAAAUUUUUGCAAUAAAUAAUUUAGUAAAUUUGUUAGUAUAUGUAUAGUAUGAGGAAAAAAUUACUAGAUUCAGAUGAAUUCGUACUCAAAACUUUUAGAUCCACCUCUACGUAUAUAUGUAUAUUUUGUUGGUGAUUUUUGGAGAUUUUAUAGAUAGAAAAGAAGAUGAAGUUUAUCAUCAGAUAAGGUAAACAUUUUUUUUUUGUAUUAUAAUGUUAAUAAAUAUUUAGUACUAUGUUGUUUGUCAUAAUUACCUAAUUAAAUAUUGUACUAAGUGUGUCUUUUCAUGUACUUAUAAUAUCUCUGAUGGAAGAGGACGAUUGUAGAUUUGGAAGGUGAUGAAAUAUAUGAUUUUUGGUUCAUUGUUGAGGGCUUGGAAGAAAUUUAGCAUGAAGAAUACAAAUUUAUUUGAAUAUUUCUUAUAUUGAAUUUCAAGGUGAACGUAGGCAUGUCGAGCAUUUCAUUUUAACGAUAUGAAGAAAGUAAGCUAGAGCCAAGUACACAAGGUUAUGCUGGCUGUAUGGAUCAACAUUUUGAUACGUGGACGCGUGAAUUUGAGUGCAACAUCUACAUCCAGCAUGCUGUUGCUUCAAAUAUGAGGAGGUUAGUAUCCCAACC